UUGUUCUUGUUAGUAGUUUUAGUAGUUUUUCUUGUUAGUAGUUUUAGUAGUUUUAGUACUUUUAGUAGUUGUUCUUGUUAGUAGUUUUAGUGGUAGAUUUAGUAGGUAGUUUAGUGGUAGAUUUUGUUUUGUUAAUUAGUGGUAGCUUGUUAAAUUAGUUAGGUUAGUUAGUUAGGAGAAGAGGAGGAGGAGGAGGACGAGAAGAGGAGAAGAAGAAGAGGAGUAGGAGGAGGAGGAGGAGAAGAAAAAGAAGAAGAAGAAG
rnacentral:lncRNA from 1 species